AUAACACCAACACAAUAUAAGUCAUCAUUAGUUUAUUAGCAUGAUAUAACAUAGUAAGCACUUGUAUCAUAAAUAUGUAAAUAUGUAAUGUGCUAUAAACACAUAACAUGAUAGAACUGUGUAAAACAUUUAUAGCUCUCUUUGAACACAAUGAUAGGAAACACUGAAAUGUGCAACUCAAACACAAAAAAUAUACCAUUAAACAAGAUUUUAAAGUAGUACUGAAACGUGUAUGAUUUACGAGUGUUUUCACUCUUCAUUUUUUUGGUGAAAAAUGCCACAGUGUGUGAAACAAUACCAUACUACUUUAUAUUCUUUACUUAUCAUUCUCCCAACACCUUCCUUUGAAUUGAUUUCCCAAAUUUGAACGGCCGAACAGCUGUUAGCAAGGUAUAUAACCCUUAGAAUACAGAUACUUGUAUUUCAUUCAAAAUGGAAAAAAAUAGUAUUAUGGUACGUAUGUAAAUUUAAGGAUGAGUGUCAUCCUACACCUACAUAGCUCAUUAAAUGAAAACAAUGCAAUUGUUUUUUUUUUUUUUUUGUUUUUUCAUGAUCCAUCUAUUAAGCGUGUGCUGUCUUUGAACAUUUAUAAAACCAACACAAUAUAAGUCUUCUACCGGUAUAACAUAAUAAGAACAUCAUGAAUAUGUGAAAUGUGCUAUGAAACAGAACAUGAUAUAACGGUGUAAAACAUCUAAAGCUCUCUCUGAACAUUAUGAAAGGAAACACUGAAAUGUGCAACCCAAGCACAAAAAAAUAUACCAUUAAAAAAGAUUUUAAGUUAUACUGAAACGUGUAUAAUUUACGAGUGUUUUCACUCUUCAUUUUUUUGGUGAAAAAUGCCACAGUGUGUGAAACAAUACCAUACUACUUUAUAUUCUUAACUUAUCAUUCUCCCAACACCAUCCUUUGAAUUGAUUUCCCAAAAUUGAAAGGCCGAACAGCUGUUAGCAAUAUAUUUUUAACUGCUACUAACCAAAAUAGGCUUCAAGUAUAAGGAAAAGACAGUUUGUCGUUCAAACGUUCAUCAAAUUAAGGUAUCCUUAAGAAAAGCUUUUUGCUGUGUGAUAUAGAGGGUAACAAAUGGGUGUUUGAGUAGUUGUAUAUAUAUAUAUAGAUGGUUACACAUGGGUUAGAUUAAUUAAUUCUUUGGUGCUAAAUGUCCAAUGGCAAAUAUGUCGGUCAUUUUCACGACAAUGACAAAAGAGAUGAUUUCAGCUUUCCAAUUGUGAACUUUCCAUUUCUAAGUAGCAACAUUCCAGCAGCACCUGCAUACGGGGUAUAUAUCUCCCAAUUGAUACGAUAUUCCCGUGCUUGCAUUUCCUAUCAUGAUUUUCUUGAUAGAGGGUUGCUGCUCACAAGGAAGCUAUUAAACCAAGAGUUCCAAACGGUGAUGUUGAAAUCAUCCCUUCGUAAAUUUUACGAACGCCAUCACGAGUUGGUUGACCGUUAUGGAAUAACCGUUUCACAAAUAAUAUCGGAUAUGUUCCUUACGUCGUAACUACAAUCCCCUUCCCUUUCAUGAAUGUGACCUACCGAAUUAGACUAUUUACUGGAUUUGUUAUCACAUAAGCAACACGACGGGUGCCGCAUGUGGAGCAGGAUCUGCUUACCCUUCCGGAGCACCUGAGAUAACCCCUAGUUUUUUGGUGGGGUUCGUGUUGUUUAUUCUUUAGUUUUCUAUGUUGUGUCGUGUGUGUUGUUGUUUGUUUGUCUUUUUCAUUUUUAGCCAUGGCGUUGUCAGUUUGUUUUAGAUUUAUGAGUUUGACUGUCCCUUUGGUAUCUUUCGUCCCUCUUUUACAAAUUAAGAGUACUUUCUGCUAAAUCGUAUGACAGAAUUUUGGGUGAACCCUGAACAGAUAUUGAUAUAAUUUAGUUCUACUUGACGAAAAAUUUUAUACAUAGUAAGGAAGAGACAGUCAAGUAAGUUUUUUUUUUUAAAAGGUCAUCAAGGAAUACGUCCGAAAAGUUAUGGUUGUGAACGGAAUUCAGCAAUUUUCCAUUUGUAAAGGAGCAUAUCACUAGAACGGUAAUAGUGACUCUUUCAAAUUCAAACUUGACCAGUGUUUUCUGGUAAUAAGCAUUUUGUGUUACUUUCAUCUCAUUUAGGUGAGACAAACUUAUAUUAGCACUACUGCAAUGGAAUGUAAAAGUCACUCAGAUUGUUC
rnacentral:lncRNA from 1 species